CACCUGGCGCAUGGGUGCACCAUUUGUCCUUUAUGAAAUUGAUUUGUAAAGAAAAUAGAAGAGAACCUGCUAUAACAGGUCAAGGUAAUAGGUUUUCUCUUGGGCCUUUUUACGCUAUAGCAUCUCUCCCUCUCAACCCUAAUUCCUCAUCUCAUUUGAGAUUUUUUUCAGAAACAGAAAAGCUCCCACUCUUCUAUCGCUUGCUUUCUCAGUCAGAGACAUUUCAAAUCGAAUUAGGGUUGGAUUUCUCAUUUCUCUCUCUUUGAGUUCGUUUCCUUCCACAACAGCUCCUCUCCUCCUCCUGUAACGACGAGACGAUGCCGGCGACCACAUCUCCUCUCCUCUCAGUUAUGAUUCCUUUGUCUCACUCUCAUCUGGAUCUCUGUGGCUGGCUUUAUCUCAACCUCUCUAUGGCAGAUAGAUCGUUGCUACUUUCUUACUUUUUUUAUUAUUUGAAUUUGAGGGUUGGAAGCUUGUGAGUUGCUCAUUCUUGAUAAUGAUACGGGACUUUAAAUUGAUGGCCUUCAGACUGCAUAUUGUUCAAACAUUGGGUUCUUGAAGGAAGAUGCUAGAUGAUGGAGCAUCCAUUUCAGCCUUGAAGAGAUAUUGCAGCGGGAGUAGCUAUUUUCAUUUUACUGAUAUCAUUUUACUCAACUCGUGAAGUACAAGGAGUCACAGAGGCAGAAAAAUUCGGCGAUUCAUAUCUUUUGUGGCUCAUGAGUUGGUGGUACUGAAAGCAUGGAAGAGAAGAAAAAUGAAAUGACAGAGGUUGUUUGGCAAUUACCAUUCAGACGAUUGGCUUUCGCAAAUUAGAAUGGCAAUUACAUAGUGCCUAUUUGUCAAUUGCCAACAUGACUUGGCUGUGUUGUAACAAAAUAAAGGAAUUUUAUAUGAGCUUGGUGACGUAAGGCAUGGGUUGAAUUGAAGAUGGGAGUUUGGUAGAAUGUAGUUCAAUUUUUUUUUUCUAUUUCUACUGUUGUUUUAGCCUUCAGAUCUUGAUUGUAGUUCAGUUUUUUUUUCCUUCUUGUAUUUGGCAUUUAGUUUUUUUUUUUAAUUUGUGUGAAAUACAAUAUAUGAUUUGCCAAUGCAAUUGACAUAGGUAGUGUCAUUUCCAUUUA